rnacentral:rRNA from 1 species
GACGAACGCUGGCGGCGUGCCUAAUACAUGCAAGUAGAACGCACAGUUUAUACCGUAGCUUGCUACACCAUAGACUGUGAGUUGCGAACGGGUGAGUAACGUGUAGGUAACCUGCCUGGUAGCGGGGGAUAACUAUUGGAAACGAUAGCUAAUACCGCAUAAUAUUAAUUAUUGCAUGAUAAUUAAUUGAAAGGUGCAAUUGCACCACUACCAGAUGGACCUGCGUUGUAUUAGCUAGUAGGUGAGGUAACGGCUCACCUAGGCGACGAUACAUAGCCGACCUGAGAGGGUGAUCGGCCACACUGGGACUGAGACACGGCCCAGACUCCUACGGGAGGCAGCCGUAGGGAAUCUUCGGCAAUGGACGAAAGUCUGACCGAGCCACGCCGCGUGAGUGAAGAAGGUUUUCGGAUCGUAAAGCUCUGUUGUAAGGGAAGAACGGGUGUGAGAGUGGAAAGUUCACACUGUGACGGUAUCUUACCAGAAAGGGACGGCUAACUACGUG